CUACCUGCUUCGGUCUCUCCCCCCGCUGAAGAUUCUGAGGAGCCUGCUGGAUCAGAAGGGAGGAUUCUUCAAUUCAGGAUGAGAAUGGAGGCAGGAGCAUGCUGGAACAAGAAGUCUCUGCACAGCGGUCGGUGUGGUGCUUGCUCAGCCUCCACUUCGAUCUGUGCACAUUUCCUGGAUCCACAACACCUUCUGACAAGAGUGCCACAGGUCUGCCACCCUGCUCCCAGGAACGUGAACUUCAGCUGCUUGAACAGAGACUUUGGCUUCACCUUCCUAAGGCCCAGACCUAAAGAAAGUUCUUUUCAUUCCCUGCCACUUCCAACCAAGUGUUUUUGAUGACAGAGUAGCACCGCUGUGUAACAAGAUAGAUCAGGUCAGCAGAUAACUCCCCAAUUACCUAGCAGCUGAAUUAACAACUACUAAGACAGAGGCAAACACCUGCUCAUCAUACAGAUUCUUCUGAAGUAUAGAAUGUUCUUUGUGGUGCUGGAGUACAGAUGCCAGCUUUGAUUCACGGUAACUUCUUUAAAUGAACCAAUAAUGGGUUAUGGAAAGCUAGAAGCUAGUUUCUGAAAACAGUUAAGUGCCUGAAUUACUUUUUCAAAGCCUGACUAAAUUAUAAACAAAAGGCCAUUUGGUCAGUAAGUGUUGUUAGUAUGGUGUUAAGUCAGAGACUUAACAGAGACAAGUUCUCCCCUUAAGACAGGGUUUG